UACGUAGGGGGCUAGCGUUGUCCGGAAUCAUUGGGCGUAAAGCGCGUGUAGGCGGUCCGGUAAGUCCGCUGUGAAAGUCAAGGGCUCAACCCUUGGAUGCCGGUGGAUACUGCAGGGCUAGAGUCCGGAAGAGGCGAGUGGAAUUCCUGGUGUAGCGGUGAAAUGCGCAGAUAUCAGGAGGAACACCAGUGGCGAAGGCGGUGCUCUGGGCCGGAACUGACGCUGAGGAGCGAAAGCGUGGGGAGCAAACAGG
rnacentral:rRNA from 1 species